AUGGGCGUUCUGGGCGAUCCUCUCGCUCGUCACCGGCAACUUAGCGCGGGGGUUGUACCGCGCGCGCCACAGCAGCGCGCACGACCUAGCGUUCGUGAUCAUGGCAUACUGCCCCACCUACUUCUGACUCUGGGGGCUCUACGUUUGCAUCAGGAGGCACGAGCUCCUGCGCCGCGACGACGACCCGGCGGCGGCGCCCGAGCAGCGGCGGGCCAGGCUCAGAGUGUGGGCGGCCUCGCUGGCGGUGGGCGGCAUGAUCGUGCUGCAGCUCGCCGGUGA
rnacentral:rRNA from 1 species